ACCUGGGUGGCUCAGUCGGUUGAGUGUCUGACUUCAGCUCAGGUCAUGAUCUCACAGUUCGUGGGUUCAAGCCCCGCGUCGGGCU
rnacentral:tRNA from 1 species